UGGGGGAUAUUGCACAAUGGGGGGAACCCUGAUGCAGCGAUGCCGCGUGGAGGAAGAAGGUUUUCGGAUUGUAAACUCCUGUCCUGAAGGACGAUAAUGACGGUACUUCAGGAGGAAGCUCCGGCUAACUAUGUGCCAGCAGCCGCGGUAAUACAUAGGGAGCGAGCGUUAUCCGGAAUUACUGGGUGUAAAGGGAGCGUAGGCGGGACUGCAAGUCAGAUGUGAAAACCACGGGCUCAACCUGUGGACUGCAUUUGAAACUGUGGUUCUUGAGUGAAGUAGAGGCAAGCGGAAUUCCUAGUGUAGCGGUGAAAUGCGUAGAUAUUAGGAGGAACAUCGGUGGCGAAGGCGGCUUGCUGGGCUUUUACUGACGCUGAGGCUCGAAAGCGUGGGGAGCAAACAGG
rnacentral:rRNA from 1 species